rnacentral:piRNA from 1 species
UACUAUAGUUUUCCAAGUCCAUGUGCCC